rnacentral:rRNA from 1 species
UACGGAGGGAGCUAGCGUUGUUCGGAAUUACUGGGCGUAAAGCGUACGUAGGCGGUUAUUCAAGUCAGAGGUGAAAGCCUGGAGCUCAACUCCAGAACUGCCUUUGAAACUAGAUAGCUAGAAUCACGGAGAGGUUAGUGGAAUUCCGAGUGUAGAGGUGAAAUUCGUAGAUAUUCGGAAGAACACCAGUGGCGAAGGCGACUAACUGGACGUGUAUUGACGCUGAGGUACGAAAGCGUGGGGAGCAAACAGG